UAUACCUUUAUAUAUUUCUUUAAAGCACUUCUCCUUCCCCUUUACCUAUUAUGUCUCUUUAAGAGGGAUUGAUAUGUUCAGAUUUGGUUCACAACUGCGUUUCCUUUUCUUCUCCUAAGGGGAAAGCCUUUUCUUUCAUUAGCUGGAAUUGAAAAGGAUGCGUUUCAAUCCGUACGUUUGUUUCAGCUGUUUUCUUCGAUCUAGAGUUUCUUAAAGCAUGGUUUUUCUUGUUCUUUUUGGACAAUUUUUUUAAUUUAGUUUUUUGGUUCUCGAGGAAUGAGUUCAUCUGGGUAGAUUCCUUCACCAAAGGGGCCUCCUAGUCGCUCUCCUUCACACAAAAUCUCUUUUUUUCUUCCAUCUCCUCUCCUUCAUUUUUUUUAUAUUAUUUUUUACUUUUCCGUAUUUAGUAUUUCAUAUUAUUAUUCCCUCUUUCCAGUUUCUCUUUGGACAAUUUUCCGUUAGAUUUGCCUUUUCCCUUUGUAACUUGUGGCUUUAUUGAGCUAUAAUAUGUACUUUUGGAUGAGAGAAUCAAUAUACCUAUAUACAUAGGUUCUAUAUGUACAUAUUAUAAAGAUUGUUAUCAGAAGUAGUUCAGUUUCGACAUAAAAUUUUAACCCAAAUAUCAUUUUAUUCUUAUAUUCAUAGAUUGCACUAGCAUAUAUUCAUAGAUUUAGGUGUUAUUAUAAGUUUAGUUGCAUGGAGAGAUUGAGAUAUACAGUCGUUUUUUGCGGAUGUAGCAUCAUCAAGAUUCACAUGCAAACGCAGGUGGGUGGGACUGUGAUGCAAUCUAAGGGAUGUGCCAACCGAGCCAUAGGUCUUUUGAAGUGAGAAUCUUGAUGAUGCUGCAUCAGCCAUAAACGACUUGCUACUUUGAAAAGUUGGAUAAGGACUAUUCUAACAUCAACAAGUGGCCCAAAAUAUAUAAAAAUCAAAAACUCUAGUUACAUACAUAGAUACAACACAGACAUCCUCUGAUCUGCGCAUUUAAACCAAGAGGCGACCUUUCCCAGUAUGCUUUUUGUUGCUGUCAGACAAUACUAGGUUUUCAAAUAUAGGCUAUUUGGAGGCCGAGUGGAGGUCGUUCAUGUGCUGACUUCACAGAUCUAUGAAUAUUCCUUUUCAACAGAAAUGCUGGGAUCUAAAUGGUGUCUUUUCAGUUUCUAAAUAUAGAUGGAGAUAUCACUUUAUCCAAAUCUGGAUACAAUGUUAGAGAGAGAAAAUUCAAAUUAUACACUAGUAUUUGUGGAAUUUAUGGUACUCAGUAGCUAGUGUUGAUGCUGAUAUUGUGACGGUUUUAACUAUUUUUUUGUGAGUAUUUGGCAUUCAUUAGAUCUAUUUCAUACCUAGCUAGAAUGCUAUGUAGAAACUUUUUUUAAAAAAAUUAUGUGUUGAUCUGUAACGAACUUCGCCAAAGCAUGCAGUUCCUAUAGUGUGAGUGUUUAAACGUGAUAGGAAAAGGAUUUGUUGAUUGUCACUGAUCUUGUGAUUUUGAUAUUACUAGUCAAGUAGUGUUCUUUUGGGGUCCCAUUCCCACAUGCUUUGGCCUCGUUGGUCACUAAAUAUUAGAAAUACACAAGAAUUAAAUUAAUGUAUAUGUAUAUUUGUAGUAGUGGAUAUUGUUCCUAGUUGGUUUGCAUCUCAGAAAUUUCGCAGAUUAUUGAGAAUGGAUUGGAUUUGGGAACAUGGAUAUACAAGAACACGGACAUAGGUCAUGUCUUAGUUUCAUGGUCAAGGUUUUGGCUUUAGCUGGUUGGUGGACCAAGGACCUCUUACAAGAUGGACCCUCCAAUAAGGUGAUCAUUUAAAUUAAAAGAAUAUUAUCUUCUAAUUUAGGGAGAGAUGUUCUCCCACUCUAGCUUCUGGAUCACGUAUAUUUGGAUCUACUGUAAGUACCUAGCUAUUACAUAUUAUUCUGGAGUAACUUGUUCCUUACUUGUACAAUUAUUCAUCAAUCAUUUCAUUGCAUCCCUAUAAACUGAAUUAAGUUAUGUAGUUUAUGGUUUAAUUUUCAUUGGAUAAUUUGUGGCUAUCUAUUUAGUUUGCUAAACUUGAUAAUUGAUUGAGACUGUUGUUGUGUGAAAGAACAAUUAAUGAUAAUAAUGGAAAAGAAUAAAUUCAAGAAAUAGCUACCAAAAAAGAAGUCUUACUUGCAUAUAGGCAUGAUGCAUCCAUUUUAAUUUGUUCUGGCCAAUAUAUAGAUAGCUAUAUUUUAAAGAAUUUGUCUUUCUUUUCUUCCUUUUUAUUCGUCUGAGCUGUUAUUUCUGUCAAUAAAAGUGUUCAUAUAUAAGAUUCAUUUUCGUUAAUUAAGGAAACCAAAAUAAAGUUUUUAUUAAAGAGAAAAUUAUUUAUUAUUUAUUAUAUUAAAGAUACAAAUGCCAUGAUACUAUUUCUUAACCUAUGUAUAUGGACAAAAGAAAUUCAUAUAUAUUAUUGUCUUAUGUACUGGUACUACAUAUGUGCAUCUGUAAUUGUCUGGUCUUGUUUUGAUUAGUAGUAUUAAUAGUUUAACCUUCCACAAUGUAUUUUGUUGAUCAUUUGCUUUUUCUUAUUUCUACUGGGAUGUAUACAUUCCAUGAAAUUUCGUGGUCCCUGCCUGCUAUUUAUUAUUAUUUUUUUGAUACAUGUCCCUGCCUAUUUAUUCAUAUAAUAUAUAAUAUAUAAUCACAAAGAUCAAAUAAAUUGUAAGCAAGCAUAAAGUCAUAUUGUAAAUAAUUUUUUGCCAUAUUGUGAUGUUUACUUUUUAGGCAAACGUAAAUUUUUCCGUCAAUUCUAAACUUUUGUGAACUGUACGAACUCAUGUGCUCAGCCUUACAGAAAUUAUUGUGAACUUGUGAUGCUAAUUAAUGUUGUGUUGAACAUCAUAUAUGAUGCUACAACAUAAUACUAUAUUAAUUAUAUAUAUGUUUUUGCCUUUUAAACUUCAUACCAAAGCUGAAGUCUAAGACCAUAUUUGCUCAUUGGAAACCCUAAGUAUAAGGAAAAACUUUCUACCUUUUCUACACAGAAGGAUAGUUAUCAUAUAUUUGGCUCAUAGUAUUAUUACAUACUAAUUUUGUAAAAUACAUGUAUAUUAAUUAAAGGAAUGGUUGAAAGUACAAUCAAAGUUUCACAUUAUUUAAAAAUAAAGAGAAUCAUAAGUUUAUAAAAUACACAUAUGUUAUAUUUAUAUGAGAUGAUUUAGAAAAUUACUAAAAGUAAAAUUUGAACAAUGGCAUAUACUAGUGUGAAUGUGUGAGAUCUCCUUGGUGCGUCCUAACAAGAGUAAUAAUAAGGAAACUUUCUCUACUUGUGCCAACACUUUUUACUUAGGUUAAAUUUAUUAAAAAUCACAAAUUUUGUAGAUGUACAUUUCAUUUAAUGGUUAUCCCUCUUAAUUAAGUGGUAGAAAAUUCUACUAAAUUUUGUAAUUUUCAACUAAUAAUAAAAAGAAUAUUAAAAGAGUAUUAUAAUGAGUGUCACUAACAUUUUUCUAUUCAUCGUUUCUCUACUUGGGCUUCCUUUUUAUUCUUUUGGCUGAAAAGGGCUAGCAUCCUAAACAACAUGAUUGAGUAAAGAAAUUCUUUACGAAUUAGUUGACUUUUUAAUUAAUUAUUUGGUGCAAUUUCCUUAUGUUAAAUUCCUUGCACACAUAAUAUGUUAACUUAAUUUUACAUCUAAUAGUUUAUGUGCUUAUUAAUUUCUUUAUUCAUAUCCCGUAACUGUGAAAUAUUAUUUUUUUGUUCGAUUUCUAUUAAAUGUGGAAAUUCAUGAAAGCAAUGUUAGUCACAGUACUGUAAGUGAAAUUAAUCUAACUCAGUAAACUAGGCGAUAUCCGUGAUGGGACCAAAAAUCUAUCUCCAUUUAUGAAUGUGGCAAUUUCCAUAUUUUCAGCCAAAAGUAGCACAUGUAGAUAACUUGUGCGUCAAAAUGGACAUAAUCACAUGCCUCUGCGUAGUACUGCAAUGGCACCAUCAUUCAGUGUCUGGUUAUAUCUCCUUUGGCAAAGGAAGAACGCAUGCAAAUACAAAUGGAAUCCAUUCAGUCUAAACUAUUAUAAAGGGAUUCAUUCGUUUUUAAGUUGCUCACUACUGUUUUGUUUGACUCUAUGUUCUAUACUUUGAUGUUUGGUACAAAAUGUUCUGAAGAGAUUCCCGCAUCACGUCAUGUUGGGAUGUUGAGGUAUACAUUGAUUUCCAUGCAAACACAUCUGGAAGGGAAGAACUGAUAUACGGUUCUAGCUUUUACUAUUUUCCGCCUUCAAUGAUUUGCUGUACACAUAUAUUUGCCCACAUUUUUCUAUAUUCUUUUUCAUACUUCUUGGUUGGUGAAGUGAAUCUUCUUUUUGAAUUUGGCAUCACCAAUAUUGGGAAGCUUUCACUGAAACUGUGACUGGUGACUCGAUUUAGAUGGUCACAUUUUGUAUAUACUAAUUUUAUAGCUCGAGUUAAACUCUAACUCAUUUUAUUUUGUCCAAAUAGACGUAUGAUGAGAGAUUCUUAGUAA